UACGGGGGGGGCAAGCGUUGUUCGGAAUUACUGGGCGUAAAGGGCUCGUAGGCGGCCAACUAAGUCAGACGUGAAAUCCCUCGGCUUAACCGGGGAACUGCGUCUGAUACUGGAUGGCUAGAGGUUGGGAGAGGGAUGCGGAAUUCCAGGUGUAGCGGUGAAAUGCGUAGAUAUCUGGAGGAAUACCGGUGGCGAAGGCGGCAUCCUGGACCGGCAUUGACGCUGAUGAGCGAAAGCUAGGGGAGCAAACGGG
rnacentral:rRNA from 1 species